rnacentral:piRNA from 1 species
UACUGGGAUCAAACAUGUGUAUCACCACUGC